rnacentral:rRNA from 12 species
GUAGUCAUAUGCUUGUCUCAAAGAUUAAGCCAUGCAUGUCUAAGUAUAAACAACUUUGUACUGUGAAACUGCAGAUGGCUCAUUAAAUCAGAAAUAAUUUCUUUGAUGGUGAAAAUCUACACGGAUACCCGUAGUAAUUCUAGAGCUAAUACGUGCGUAAACUCCAUUGGAGGUAUUUAUUAGAUCCGAACCAGCCCCUUCGGGGUUUUCUGGUGAAUCAUGAUAACUGUUCGAAUCGCCAGGCUCUGCCAGGCGAUAGUUCAUUCAAAUUUCUGCCCUAUC